rnacentral:rRNA from 1 species
CAUUGGGGCGGGCUUUACCAUGCAAGUCGACGGAAAGGCCCUUGCUUGCAGGGGUACUCGAGUGGCCAACUGGUGAGUAACACGUGGGUGAUCUGCCUUGUACUUCGGGAUAAGCCUGGGAAACUGGGUCUAAUACCGGAUAGGACCAUGCUUUAGUGUGUGUGGUGGAAAGUUUUUCGGUACAAGAUGAGCCCGCGGCCUAUCAGCUUGUUGGUGGGGUAAUGGCCUACCAAGGCGACGACGGGUAGCCGGCCUGAGAGGGUGUACGGCCACAUUGGGACUGAGACACGGCCCAGACUCCUACGGGAGGCAGCAGUGGGGAAUAUUGCACAAUGGGCGCAAGCCUGAUGCAGCGACGCCGCGUGAGGGAUGACGGCCUUCGGGUUGUAAACCUCUUUCGCUAGGGAAGAAGCCACUUGUGGUGACGGUACCUGGAUAAGAAGCACCGGCUAACUACGUGCCAGCAGCCGCGGUAAUACGUAGGGUGCGAGCGUUGUCCGGAAUUACUGGGCGUAAAGAGCUCGUAGGUGGUUUGUCGCGUCGUCUGUGAAAUCCCGGGGCU